GGCGGGUGGGGACGCUGGUGCGUCCGGCGGUCUGAUGAGCCGCUGCGGGCAGGUUCGAUUCCUGCACCCGCUA
rnacentral:tRNA from 1 species